rnacentral:rRNA from 1 species
AGUGAAUAGAUACCCAGGUAGUCCACGCCGUAAACGAUGAUCGCUAGCUGUUGGCGAUACACAGUCAGCGGCAAAGCAAAAGCAUUAAGUGAUCCACCUGGGGAGUACGGCCGCAAGGCUGAAACUCAAAGGAAUUGACGGGGCCGGCCACAAGCGGAGGAAACGAAUGUGGUUUAAUUUACGAUGAUACGCGAGGAACCGUUAACCCUGGGCGUUAAACUAGUAGAGUGCAUUUCCGUACGAAAUACGGGUAGUUCCCUUCCGGGGUCGUCUCUGCAAGGUGCUGCAUGGUUGUCGUCAGCUCGUGCCGUGAGGUGUCGGGUUAAGUCCCAUAACGAGCGC